UAGGGAAUCUUCCGCAAUGGACGCAAGUCUGACGGAGCAACGCCGCGUGAGUGAAGAAGGAUUUCGGUUCGUAAAACUCUGUUGUUAGAGAAGAACAGCGCAUAGAGUAACUGUUAUGCGUGUGACGGUAUCUAACCAGAAAGCCACGGCUAACUACGUGCCAGCAGCCGCGGUAAUACGUAGGUGGCAAGCGUUGGCCGGAUUUAUUGGGCGUAAAGCGAGCGCAGGCGGUCAAUUAAGUCUGAUGUGAAAGCCCCCGGCUCAACCGGGGAGGGUCAUUGGAAACGGGUUGACUUGAGUGCAGAAGAGGAGAGUGGAAUUCCAUGUGUAGCGGUGAAAUGCGUAGAUAUAUGGAGGAACACCAGUGGCGAAGGCGACUCUCUGGUCUGUAACUGACGCUGAGGCUCGAAAGCGUGGGUAGCAAACAGG
rnacentral:rRNA from 1 species